rnacentral:rRNA from 1 species
GUGAGGAAUAUUGGUCAAUGGACGAGAGUCUGAACCAGCCAAGUAGCGUGCAGGAUGACGGCCCUAUGGGUUGUAAACUGCUUUUAUACAGGGAUAAAGUUCACUACGUGUAGUGUUUUGUAGGUACUGUAUGAAUAAGGACCGGCUAAUUCCGUGCCAGCAGCCGCGGUAAUACGGAAGGUCCGGGCGUUAUCCGGAUUUAUUGGGUUUAAAGGGAGCGCAGGCUGAUGAUUAAGCGUGACGUGAAAUGUAGCCGCUCAACGGCUGAACUGCGUCGCGAACUGGUUAUCUUGAGUGAGUUCGAUGUUGGCGGAAUUCGUGGUGUAGCGGUGAAAUGCUUAGAUAUCACGAAGAACUCCGAUUGCGAAGGCAGCCAACAAGGCCUUUACUGACGCUAAAGCUCGAAGGUGCGGGUAUCGAACAGG